rnacentral:rRNA from 1 species
AGUGAACGCUGGCGGUAGGCCUAACACAUGCAAGUCGAACGGCAGAGAGAAGCUUGCUUCUCUUGAGAGCGGCGGACGGGUGAGUAAUGCCUAGGAAUCUGCCUGGUAGUGGGGGAUAACGUUCGGAAACGGACGCUAAUACCGCAUACGUCCUACGGGAGAAAGCAGGGGACCUUCGGGCCUUGCGCUAUCAGAUGAGCCUAGGUCGGAUUAGCUAGUUGGUGGGGUAAUGGCUCACCAAGGCGACGAUCCGUAACUGGUCUGAGAGGAUGAUCAGUCACACUGGAACUGAGACACGGUCCAGACUCCUACGGGAGGCAGCAGUGGGGAAUAUUGGACAAUGGGCGAAAGCCUGAUCCAGCCAUGCCGCGUGUGUGAAGAAGGUCUUCGGAUUGUAAAGCACUUUAAGUUGGGAGGAAGGGCAGUAAAUUAAUACUUUGCUGUUUUGACGUUACCGACAGAAUAAGCACCGGCUAACUCUGUGUCAGCAGCCGCCGUAA